CUUUUACAUCUCUGGACCUCUGUGAAGUAAGUCACUGGAAAUUAAAUGAUCUAUAAGGUCUAAUUUAAUCCUGGUCUCUGAACAAAAGGGAGAUGAGAUCUGGUAUGCAAAGAAAUGUCUGCUUUGAAUACAACAACAGACUCAGAUCCAGAAGAUGGCUAGCAAAUAUAGAAGUAGGUUAUUAAGUUUAAAAUGAUGCUCUGUGACAAAACCAGCUGUGGGUUUUUGUGCUGCUAAGCUGAUAUUAGAGAGCUUUAAGAUGGUCUGAAUUGUAAGCAAUAAUAAUUAUAUACAUAGGGGUUGUGGA
rnacentral:lncRNA from 10 species